rnacentral:lncRNA from 1 species
UGAACAAAAGAGCUUCUUAACUCCAAAGAUCCAGGAACAAACAACUGCUUUUUACCAACAGAUUUAUGCCCAUUUUGAGUAUAAUAAUUCACAUGACCUUUUGAACUCAAUGAAUCCACACACAAACAUGGUGAAGUAUGUGAAUCCAUAACUGAUGAACCCACCACAGAUAUACCCCCCACCAUUCUUCACAAUUUCAGCCCCAAAACAAGCUUCUUGAUGGUAAAAAUUCAAACUUUUUGCCCAAAUCUAAUGAAGGAAGAAUCUUUAUGAAGAUUUAAGAGAUACCCAGAUGAAAAGUUUUGAGAUUUUUUUGUGGAAAUGGGUGGGUACAAAGGGAUAAAGAUUUGAAGAAAUGUGAAGGAAAACAAGUAGUUUUUGAAGAGAGUUUGUGGGUAGUAGAAGCUAUGACCAGAAAUAAACAUGAGGUCUGAAAUCCUCCAACCCAUUUAGGGUUUAUUUUUGGGAUGUUUGAAUCUUCAAAUCAAAAGUGGGAAUUUUGUGUCUUGACAAUAAACGUGUAUGGUCAGUUUGUAAUGUGGACAAGUGUAGGGUCUCUUGUGUAUCAAGCAUGUGUAGUGUUUUAAGUUUUAGAGUAAACUUUCGUUUUGCUU